GACGAAGGGGGCUAGCGUUGUUCGGAAUUACUGGGCGUAAAGCGAGUGUAGGUGGUUUUCCAAGUUGGAUGUGAAAGCCUUGAGCCUAACUCAAGAAAUGCAUUCAGGACUGGAUGACUAGAGGACCGGAGAGGAUAAUGGAAUUCCCAGUGUAGUGGUGAAAUACGUAGAGAUUGGGAAGAACACCAGUGGCGAAGGCGGCUAUCUGGACGGUUUCUGACACUAAGACUCGAAAGCGUGGGGAGCAAACAGG
rnacentral:rRNA from 1 species